rnacentral:rRNA from 1 species
CGGUGUUUAACUGGCGUGAUGUGGGACGUCCUACCGGUGGGCUUAGCCUCGCGAGGGGCGGCCCAACUAAUAUCCCGUCGCGGUGCUCUUUACUGAGUGUCGAGUCGGGCCGGUACGUUUACUUUGAACAAAUUAGAGUGCUUAAAGCAGGCUAUCCUCGCCUGAAUACUGCGUGCAUGGAAUAAUGGAAUAGGACCUCGGUUCUAUUUUGUUGGUUUUCGGAACCCCGAGGUAAUGAUUAAUAGGGACAGAUGGGGGCAUUCGUAUUGCGACGUUAGAGGUGAAAUUCUUGGAUCGUCGCAAGACGGACAGAAGCGAAAGCAUUUGCCAAAAAUGUUUUCAUUAAUCAAGAACGAAAGUUAGAGGUUCGAAGGCGAUCAGAUACCGCCCUAGUUCUAACCAUAAACGAUGCCAGCUAGCGAUCCGCCGAAGUUCCUCCGAUGACUCGGCGGGCAGCUUCCGGGAAACCAAAGCUUUUGGGUUCCGGGGGAAGUAUGGUUGCAAGCUGAAACUUAAAGGAAUUGACGGAGGGGCACCACCAGGAGUGGAGCCUGCGGCUUAAUUUGACUCUACACGGGAAACCUCACCAGGCCCAGACACCGGAAGGAUUGACAGAUUUGAUAGCUCUUUCUUGAUUCGGUGGGUGGUGGUGCACGGCCGUUCUUAGUUGGUGGAGCGAUAGUCUGGUUAAUUCCGAUAACGAACGAGACUCUAGCCUGCUAAAUAGGCGUACCUUAUGAUAUCGUGAAGGCCCCCGGCUUCGGCCGGUGGGUUUUUACUACCAACGUACAAACAAAUCUUCUUAGAGGGACAGGCGG